rnacentral:rRNA from 1 species
AACGAACGCUGGCGGUAUGCUUAACACAUGCAAGUCGAACGAACAAAAUUGGGGCUUGCUCCAAUUUUAGUGAGUGGCAAACGGGUGAGUAACACGUGGGAAUCUACCUAUCAGUACGGAAUAACAUUUGGAAACAGAUGCUAAUACCGUAUAUUCUCCAAGGAGGAAAGAUUUAUCGCUGAUAGAUGAGUCCGCGUAAGAUUAGGUAGUUGGUAGGGUAAUGGCCUACCAAGCCGACGAUCUUUAGCUGGUCUGAGAGGAUGAUCAGCCACACUGGGACUGAGACACGGCCCAGAAUCCUACGGGAGGCAGCAGUGGGGAAUAUUGGACAAUGGGCGAAAGCCUGAUCCAGCAAUACCGCGUGAAUGAUGAAGGCCUUAGGGUUGUAAAGUUCUUUUAGUUGGAAAGAUAAUGACGGUACCAACAGAAAAAGCCCCGGCUAACUCCGUGCCAGCCGCCGCCGUAA